AGCGUAGGCGGUUUGUUAAGUUGAGUGUGAAAUCCUUGGGCUUAACUCAAGAAUUGCACUUGAUACUGGCAAACUAGAGUGUUGGAGAGGUAAGUGGAAUUCCUAGUGUAGCGGUAAAAUGCGUAGAUAUUAGGAGGAACACCAGAGGCGAAGGCGGCUUACUGGACAACAACUGACGCUGAGGUUCGAAAGCGUGGGGAUCAAACA
rnacentral:rRNA from 1 species